rnacentral:rRNA from 1 species
UCUUGCGCAAUGGGCGAAAGCCUGACGCAGCAACGCCGCGUGCGGGAUGACGGCCUUCGGGUUGUAAACCGCUUUCAGCAGGGACGAAAUUUGACGGUACCUGCAGAAGAAGCCCCGGCCAACUACGUGCCAGCAGCCGCGGUAACACGUAGGGGGCGAGCGUUGUCCGGAUUUAUUGGGCGUAAAGAGCUCGUAGGCGGCUCGGUAAGUCAACUGUGAAAGCUCCGGGCUCAACUCGGAGACGCCAGUUGAUACUGCUGUGGCUAGAGUCCGGUAGGGGAGCGUGGAAUUCCUGGUGUAGCGGUGAAAUGCGCAGAUAUCAGGAGGAACACCAGCGGCGAAGGCGGCGCUCUGGGCCGGAACUGACGCUGAGGAGCGAAAGCGUGGGUAGCAAACAGGA